UGUUCACUUUACGGUUGAGCACUAAGAGAAGCGGUAGCGCUGCGAGUGGCCUAGCCGGGAACUAGCGUCCAUCUUCUUCCGGCGUCCAUUUUCCGCGCGUUGUCCUGUUCUUGUCGGUACGUCGCGAGUAUUUCAACAAUUUCUGGAGAGACAAUCCCAAGCUUAAUGGACGGCUCACCAACCGGCAGAGGAGGAUUUCGCGGUCGUGGAGGACCCGGCGGACCGCCGAUGAGGGGACGCGGCGGCUUUGGCGACAGAGGACGAGGUGGACCUCCUAGAGGUGGCAUGAUGCGAGGUGGCCGAGGGGGAGGUCCUGGCGGACCGGGAGGAAUGCGAGGAGGACCCCCUGGAAUGAGAGGCAGAGGCGGGCCACCUGGUCGAGGUGGACGUGGCGGACACUUUCCCCCAGGAGGUCCACCAGAUGUGGGAAUGGUAGCGGGUCCAGGAGGUGGCCCUCCUCCACCAGGCAUGGCAGGUCCUCCAAGAGGAGGUCGAGGCGGCGGUGGAGUUGGCGGCUUCCGAGGUGGGAGAGGCAGAGGCGACUUUGGUAGAGGUGACAUGCGCGGUGGUGGUGGAGGCUUCAGAGGACGUGGAGGCGGUAUGGACCGAGGAGGUGGUAGGGGGGGUGGCCGUGGUGGUGGCGGUCCCCCAAGAGGUGGUCCGGGCGGCAGAGGUGGGUUUGGAGAUCGAGGUGGUAGAGGAGGCAUUGGCGGCAGAGGAGGUGCUAUCAAGCGGGGUGGUGGUCCAAUGGGAGCUGGUGGUCCGGCAAAGAGGCCCAGGUUCGAUCAGGCACCCUCGCAGAAUUCAAACGGUUAUUCUGCCCCACCAAAUAACCAGGGUUAUGGCGGUGGUGGACCACCCGGCAAUGGCUACUCUCAGCAGCAGCUACCGCCGCAGCAACAACAGCAACAACCACAGCCAGGAGGUGGAGGAUACGGUGGAUACUCGGCACAGCAGGGACCCUAUGCUCAGCCUUAUUCUGGCUAUGAGAGCUAUCAGCAGGCACCCGAUUACGCCCAACCUACCGGAUACGCAGCACCAGCGCCAACAGACGGAAGGUAUGGCGGAGCACCCAACGUACCACCUACAGCUGCCUACAACUCGGCCGACCCCUAUAGCUAUGGAAAAGCAUCCGCACCCGGUGACCCGUACGCAGCCGGUUACCAGCAGGGGGCUGCAGCGGGUGCGGCAGCUGGGGGUGGCGGUUACGCCCCUGCCAACCCCUAUGAUGACCGAUCCUCUAACGCCACCACCGCAACAACCGGGGGUGGCUACUCUACGCAGUCCUACGACUAUCCGAGUCAAGAUGGCGGGUAUGGGAAACAGGACUAUGGGUGGAACCAAAGAAGAGGAUAACGAUCACUAAUCGGGUUCUUCCUCUGGUCGUAGACGAAGUCGAGCCACUCGUCGAGGGUGGUGAGGAUCCCUGACAAACCGGCGAACGCCAUACUUGACACAGGGUGACCGGAGCCUGACGCUAACCGGCCCAAAAUUACCGGAAGCACCGCUCGUCGUUCCUUCGGAGGAGUGCGGAAUCGGUUUACAUAGGCGAGGCUACUCGAAGCUCCUCGAAAU
rnacentral:misc_RNA from 1 species